AUUGAACGCUGGCGGCAGGCCUAACACAUGCAAGUCGAACGGUAACAGGAAGAAGCUUGCUUCUUUGCUGACGAGUGGCGGACGGGUGAGUAAUGUCUGGGAAACUGCCUGAUGGAGGGGGAUAACUACUGGAAACGGUAGCUAAUACCGCAUAACGUCGCAAGACCAAAGAGGGGGACCUUCGGGCCUCUUGCCAUCGGAUGUGCCCAGAUGGGAUUAGCUAGUAGGUGGGGUAACGGCUCACCUAGGCGACGAUCCCUAGCUGGUCUGAGAGGAUGACCAGCCACACUGGAACUGAGACACGGUCCAGACUCCUACGGGAGGCAGCAGUGGGGAAUAUUGCACAAUGGGCGCAAGCCUGAUGCAGCCAUGCCGCGUGUAUGAAGAAGGCCUUCGGGUUGUAAAGUACUUUCAGCGGAGAGGAAGGGAGUAAAGUUAAUACCUUUGCUCAUUGACGUUACCCGCAGAAGAAGCACCGGCUAACUCCGUGCCAGCAGCCGCGGUAAUACGGAGGGUGCAAGCGUUAAUCGGAAUUACUGGGCGUAAAGCGCACGCAGGCGGUUUGUUAAGUCAGAUGUGAAAUCCCCGGGCUCAACCUGGGAACUGCAUCUGAUACUGGCAAGCUUGAGUCUCGUAGAGGGGGGUAGAAUUCCAGGUGUAGCGGUGAAAUGCGUAGAGAUCUGGAGGAAUACC
rnacentral:rRNA from 1 species